UCAGACUGACUCUGUCUUCCUUUACGCGCCUGGUCUCCUUUCUCUCUCGCCCCCAUUGAUCUUUCAGGAGGUGCCUCCUCGGGUCUCAUCAAAUAACCUGGCCCGCGGGACCGGGCAAGUGGCGCCCGAACGUGGGGCUCGAGGCACGGUGACCUGCCGGACGACGGACAACGGACAACGGAAGGGGCCCCGGAGAGGAUCAGGGUAGAGACGCCCGGACCGCAUCACUCGUGCAACGCGGGAGAGUCUUGAGGUUUCCACUUGGCUGACAGAUACAUCCAAGCAUCAUUUGCUGGUGACAACCUACUGCAAACGACUAUGAGCCCUGAACUUGCUGAAAGCUGAUAUGGACCAAUUCAGCCGAUAUGCAUACCAUCUCUUCAGCUGGUCAAUAAAACGUUCCCUCUUG